rnacentral:rRNA from 1 species
CACGUAGGGGACGAGCGUUGUCCGGAAUCAUUGGGCGUAAAGCGCGCGUAGGUGGCCAUUUAAGUCCGCUGUGAAAGUCAAAGGCUCAACCUUUGAAAGCCGGUGGAUACUGGGUGGCUAGAGUACGGAAGAGGCGAGUGGAAUUCCUGGUGUAGCGGUGGAAUGCGCAGAUAUCAGGAGGAACACCAAUGGCGAAGGCAGCUCGCUGGGACGUUACUGACACUGAGGCGCGAAAGCGUGGGGAGCGAACAGG